GACGAACGCUGGCGGCGUGCCUAAUACAUGCAAGUUGAGCGCUGAAGGUUGGUACUUGUACCAACUGGAUGAGCAGCGAACGGGUGAGUAACGCGUGGGGAAUCUGCCUUUGAGCGGGGGACAACAUUUGGAAACGAAUGCUAAUACCGCAUAAAAACUUUAAACACAAGUUUUAAGUUUGAAAGAUGCAAUUGCAUCACUCAAAGACGAUCCCGCGUUGUAUUAGCUAGUUGGUGAGGUAAAGGCUCACCAAGGCGAUGAUACAUAGCCGACCUGAGAGGGUGAUCGGCCACAUUGGGACUGAGACACGGCCCAAACUCCUACGGGAGGCAGCAGUAGGGAAUCUUCGGCAAUGGACGAAAGUCUGACCGAGCAACGCCGCGUGAGUGAAGAAGGUUGUCGGAUCGUAAAACUCUGUUGGUAGAGAAGAACGUUGGUGAGAGUGGAAAGCUCAUCAAGUGACGGUAACUACCCAGAAAGGGACGGCUAACUACGUG
rnacentral:rRNA from 1 species